rnacentral:rRNA from 1 species
UCAUUUUGACGUUAGUCAACAGAAGAAGCACCGGCUAACUCCGUGCCAGCAGCCGCGGUAAUACGGAGGGUUGCGAGCGUUAAUCGGAAUUUACUGGGCGUAAAGCGCAUGCAGGUGGUUUGUUAAGUCAGAUGUGAAAGCCCGGGGCUCAACCUCGGAACUGCAUUUUGAAACUGGCAGACUAGAGUACUGUAGAGGGGGUAGAAGUUUCAGGUGUAGCGGUGAAAUGCGUAGAGAUCUGAAGGAAUACCGGUGGCGAAGGCGGCCCCCUGGACAGAUACUGACACUCAGAUGCGAAAGCGUGGGGAGCAAACAGGAUUAGAUACCCUGGUAG